rnacentral:piRNA from 1 species
UGCUGACAGAAGCCUGUCCUUGUAAGGCC